CACAGCAAAGAACAAUAAAUCCCACAACAUAAACCAAUCUCCUAGCAGAACACUGAGCUAAACUAUAAUUUUAGAAAAACUAAUGCUAAAACUAGUAACAAGAAACUUUCUCUCAGCAUCCAUGUAAGCCAGAAAUAGAAAAGCUACUGGACUUUAACAGACCACAACAGGCACAACACAAGCAUGUUAAGUAAACUGUUAAACCAACACCGGAAUGCUAUUAAGACAGAUUAAAAACUAUAUAAGGAAUUCAGCAAAACUUGUCCCAACUGUUUACCAAAAACAUAGCCUUUAGCCCAAAAAGUAUUAAAGGUUCCGCCUGCCCAGUGAAACUUUUUCAACGGCCGCGGUAUUCUAACCGUGCAAAGGUAGCGUAAUCACUUGUCUUCUAAAUAAAGACCAGUAUGAAUGGCUAAAUGAGGACAAACCUGUCUCUUAUAGUUAAUCAGUGAAACUGAUCUUCCAGUACAAAAGCUGGAAUUAAAACAUAAGACGAGAAGACCCCGUGGAGCUUAAAAUAAACUACUACCCAAAGCUAGUAGAACCUUUUCAGUUGGGGCGACUUCGGAAUAUAAUAAAACUUCCGAGCACAGAACCACACCUUCCACCAAAGGCCAACAAGCCAAGCACAUUGACCCGGCCAAUGCCGAACAACGAACCAAGUUACCCCGGGGAUAACAGCGCUAUCUUCUUUAAGAGUUCAUAUCAACAAGAAGGUUUACGACCUCGAUGUUGGAUCAGGACACCCAAAUGGUGCAGCCGCUAUUAAAGGUUCGUUUGUUCAACGAUUAAUGU
rnacentral:rRNA from 1 species